rnacentral:rRNA from 1 species
UACGGGGGGGGCAAGCGUUGUUCGGAAUUACUGGGCGUAAAGGGCUCGUAGGUGGCCAACUAAGUCGGACGUGAAAUCCCUCGGCUUAACCGGGGAACUGCAUCCGAUACUGGAUGGCUUGAGUUCGGGAGAGGGAUGCGGAAUUCCAGGUGUAGCGGUGAAAUGCGUAGAUAUCUGGAGGAACACCGGUGGCGAAGGCGGCAUCCUGGACCGACACUGACGCUGAGGAGCGAAAGCCAGGGGAGCAAAGCGGG